rnacentral:tRNA from 1 species
GGCGGCGUAGCUCAGCCUGGUAGAGCACGCGGCUCAUAUCCGCGCAGUCGGGGGUUCAAAUCCCUCCGCCGCCA